rnacentral:rRNA from 1 species
CCUGCGGAAGGAUCAUUGUCGAAAGCCUCGUAGUAGAAAGACUUGUUAACCCGUACCAAUACACGAUACGAGCGUCGUGGCCAUCCUCUUGGUUUGCCCACGACGAACAAAAACUCCGGCGCAGCAGCGCCAAGGAUUCUCAUAAUGAGAAUGCAACCUCGUAGAGCUUUAUUUCGUUGCUUGUGGGGUUGGCAUCCUUUUAACUAAAUGACUCUCGGCAAUGGAUAUCUCGGCUCUUGCAUCGAUGAAGAACGUGGCGAAAUGCGAUACUUGGUGUGAAUUGCAGAAUCCCGUGAACCAUCGAAACUUUGAACGCAAGUUGCGCCUCAAGCCAUUAGGUUGAGGGCACGUUUGCUUGGGUGUCAUUCGUUAUGUCUCCCCUCUUGUGUGGUGCGGGAGUAGAUUGUGGCCUCCUGGGCCCUUCCUUGGGUGUGGUUGGCUGAAAAUGUUGUCCUUGAUUUUGUUGAUGUCUUGGUGUGCGGUGGAUGUACCAAGUGUGCAUAAUUGCCAGCCUUGCUUGACUUCGUUGUGGCCUUUUGAUCUUUAGAAGCUGUCGGUGUGGGCUCUUUGAUUGCGACCCCAAGUCAGGCGAGACUAC